CAUGUAGGCGGUCUGUCAAGUCUGAUGUGAAAGCCCGGGGCUCAACCCCGGAAGUGCAGUGGAAACUGGCAGACUUGAGUACGGGAGAGGAAAGUGGAAUUUCGAGUGUAGGGGUGAAAUCCGUAGAUAUUCGAAGGAACACCAGUGGCGAAGGCGGCUUUCUGGACCGAUACUGACGCUGAGAUGCGAAAGCGUGGGGAGCAAACAGGAUUAGAUACCCUGGUAGUCC
rnacentral:rRNA from 1 species